UCUCCGAUCGUAUAGUGGCUAGUAUGCCAGCUUGUCACGCUGGAGACCGGGGUUCAAUUCCCCGUCGGAGAG
rnacentral:tRNA from 3 species